AGAUAUCUUGCAUUUCAGUUAUUCAAUAAUUAAGAAUUGGAAUGUCCUUUGAAUUUUAGUAUUUCAAGGUGUUUAUAUAAGCAUAUAAAGUAGUUAAUUAAAAAGGAAGAAGUUAAAUAUGAUCAUUCUGGUUAUCUACCUUGAACUGCCCUUAAGUGCCAGCAAAAAUCUGAAGUGUGUUAUCCCCAAGUCAUUGGCAAUCAUGGCUGCAACUCUAAAAAAUGUCUUUUAAGAACACCAGUGUCAGAUUUGUCAUCUAAAACACUUGUUUGGCCCUGCAAGUUUUAAGAUGACGGAAGAUGACAGCAGCAUCUCCUCAGAAUGAAGAGAUUCACAGGGAGCCAUGAUCUCAUAGACAUAGAAUAGCUUGAGGCUUUGCUCUGAGUCAUCUCUCUCUAAUGGCAAUUUUAAGGUCACUCCUGAACAUGGUUUGCCACACUGUUUGAAGAAACGUGCACGUAUCCAUCUGCAAAAAGCCAGCUGUCCAGGAGGCAGUUCUAUUGUAAAGAGUCUACUCCUGCCUUUCAGGGAAAUAUAGCUCAGAGCUUCCUUCUUCAAGCCAAGGAGGGACUGUUAGCCCUGAGCCCUGAAGUUAACAGAGAACUCACAGUGCUUUUACUCCAUCAGUACUGUCUGCUUCAGGUAAACUGACUUUCUAAAUGUCUGACAUGAAAGAUAAUUCUAGGCAAAAUUUAAAUAUUCGUUCAAGAUUUGAUGAAGACAAAUAAUUUCAAAGGCUUGUUUUCAUUAGCGAAUCAUAGCUAUUAAUAGCAUGAUUUCUUUUCCAGUGAAGGGAAAGAAUUCCCUUCUACUUUCCAGCUGUUUAUCUCAGUUAAUAUUACCUUGCACUUGCUUUUAGUUCCUUGAUUACUCAUGUGCAAGGAGGUGGAUAGGUCUUAUCUCAUAACUGUGUGCACCUUGUCUCAAAUGCUUUUACCCGAGCUUGGGAAUUUGGCUCUUUUCUACCUAAAUGAACAACCACAAAAGAAGCUUAAAAAGCUAGUUCAUGAGAGUUCCUUAUCAGUAACAAAUACAUUUACUUCCGAGAAAUGUUGAUGGUCACACCAUGUUUCCCUUCCUAUUUAAAAAAGUCUAUCAUUCUUUUUAUUUGAAAUAAAUGAAAAACUGUUUUCCAUUCAGUCAUUCAUUAGUUAUUGAAUGGUCCAUAUUACUUGCUCUUCUCCCUGUGCACUGAAUAAUAGAAUACAGAUAUACAACAGAGCUUUCAGAAAAAGUGUGCAAGAACAGAUGGGGUUUGUGCAAAACACAUUUGUAUAGGUGAAGGAGGAACUUGACCCCGGGGCUUCAGAUUACAGAACUCUCAUAGAGAACUGGUUCCUGGGAGCAGUC